rnacentral:rRNA from 1 species
GGGGAAUAUUGGACAAUGGGCGAAAGCCUGAUCCAGCCAUGCCGCGUGUGUGAAGAAGGUCUUCGGAUUGUAAAGCACUUUAAGUUGGGAGGAAGAGCAGUUACCUAAUACGUGAUUGUUUUGACGUUACCGACAGAAUAAGCACCGGCUAACUCUGUGCCAGCAGCCGCGGUAAUACGAAGGGUGCAAGCGUUAAUCGGAAUUACUGGGCGUAAAGCGCGCGUAGGUGGUUCAGCAAGUUGGAUGUGAAAGACCCGGGCUCAACCUGGGAACUGCAUCCAAAACUACUGAGCUAGAGUACGGUAGAGGGUGGUGGAAUUUCCUGUGUAGCGGUGAAAUGCGUAGAUAUAGGAAGGAACACCAGUGGCGAAGGCGACCACCUGGACUGAUACUGACACUGAGGUGCGAAAGCGUGGGGAGCAAACA